GAUGAACGCUGGCGGCGUGCCUAAUACAUGCAAGUCGAGCGAACGGACGAGAAGCUUGCUUCUCUGAUGUUAGCGGCGGACGGGUGAGUAACACGUGGAUAACCUACCUAUAAGACUGGGAUAACUUCGGGAAACCGGAGCUAAUACCGGAUAAUAUUUUGAACCGCAUGGUUCAAAAGUGAAAGACGGUCUUGCUGUCACUUAUAGAUGGAUCCGCGCUGCAUUAGCUAGUUGGUAAGGUAACGGCUUACCAAGGCAACGAUGCAUAGCCGACCUGAGAGGGGGGACGGCCACACUUGAACUUAGACACGGGCCAAAACCCUAAGGGAGGCCGCAGGAGGGAAAUUUCCGCAAUGGGCGAAAGCCUUACCGAGCCAACCCGCGGGGGGGAAGAAGGUUUUCGGAUUGGAAAACCCUGUUAUUAGGGAAGAAAAAAUUGGGAAGUAACCUUUGCCAUCCUGAAGGUACCCAAACAGAAAGGCACGGCUAACUACGUG
rnacentral:rRNA from 1 species